CUAAUAUUAGAGACCAAAAGCGUUGUUAACCAUAUUUUUUAUAUAUGGUACCAAUUACUAAUAGGCUGUAUAUUUUUGGCAGGUUGAUGCACCAAAUAAGCUUACCUGGAUGCACUUACAUCAGACUUGGUUGGAUGGCUCAGAAGGAAAGGAUGAUACACCUUGGUUUAUCUAAAGACUAUUUACUAUUAUUACACUCACACCUUAGAGGUGACCAACAUGCCCUUCCCUGAUCUUCAUAGUGUUUCCCUCUUGUUUUGUUUGUGUAAUAAUAUGUUUUGUCAAUGCAACCUGAAACGUCGACAAAAGAAAUCUGAGCUAUUAAAAUGGUGAAGUACCUGUACGGGGUAUAUACCAGUACUGGGUACUCCUAAAAUGGUUAAGGAUAAUCCUACCAAGUAAAACAAUUAUAAUCUUUCCUGUAUACAUGAGAAAUUAUAAAUUGCAGAGAGGAAGUCAACAGAAAGAAGAGAAAAAAAACUGAACCACUAAAGAAGACUCAAAUUUCAACUAAAGUUUUUGUCAAUGACUUCUCCGUCUCUAAUGAUAAAUGGCACGANNNNNNNNNNNNNNCUCUUAAAGCUGUUAGGUCCUCUAGACAAAAGUUAAACUACUAAUACCACUUUUUACUCUAUAUGGUUCCCCCAAUUUAGAGGUGAUGAAUGAUUUGUAGAUCAUCACUAGAGCUGGAUACUGAUC
rnacentral:lncRNA from 1 species